UGCUCCAGGAUUGGUCCAACUUCUGAUUAUGGUCACAACUUCCACUUUGACAAAUGUGAUAUCAGCAGGAAGAAAAUUUACUAUUGAUCUGGCCAGUAGAUGGUGUAGAAUAUUCGGCUAAGUAAAGAAAUGUUGUACAUUGAGUGCUGACAGAUGGGGAGGUUUAGGAAAAGGUGUUGGGAUUCAAAAUUUUGAGUUGCAUGCUUUCCGAGCUGCCUUCCAGAUGGUAAAUCCUGUUGUAUCACAGUCCCAUUGCUAUGCUUUGUGAUCUAAUUUUCUCUGGAAGGGAUUAGAAGUUCAAGCUUAUUUGUUUAUUGUUUGGUAAAUUGAUGCCAAGCCAAGAGCCACUAAUAAGUCUCACAUUUCCUCUAAGCCCUUUUGAGACUUUUGAAGGUUCUUUUCCAAUAUUAUCCAAAGAUCUUGGUUACCAGUCCUGCCAUUGGUUGUCAAGGUAAAGCUUUCGCUGCCAACAAAAUCGAAGGGCAUUGGAGUCAGGUUUGCAUCUUAAAGGGACUUAAGAUUAUUACUUAUCUCUUUCUCCUAAAGACUGUAAGAAGAAUUUUACUUGGAUGAACAAAAAUGCAGAGACUGAAGUCACCUUAUCUGAGAAUCUGAAAGGGCCAGACCAUACUGAUGGUAUGAUUCAGAAAGUUUCUUCCAAAAUUAGUUCUGGAUGUGAGAAGACUACAUAUGCCGAGAAAUAUAUGCUUUUCAAGAAAUUUAUACAGUCUGCACUUGAUCGUCUUGGUGUCCAUUGUUUGAAGGAAGUUGAUCUGGCUGGAUUAUGGAAGAAAAAUGAACCGUUUGCUGAACUGAUAGGACCUUAUUGGUCUCUGCGAGAUGCUUCAGGGCUGGUACUGGAAACUAUCCUGCCGCUUGAUAGGCUCCAGGAGCAAGGCAAUUCCUUAAAAGUACUAAUGCUGCCAAUCUUUGAUCCUGCUUUAUCUCCCGGAAACGUGGCUCUCAUUUCUUGGAAAAUCUGAAGUAUUCUUCAUUCCAAGUUCUCUACAUCAUUACAUGGUUGUUAAGAUCAAUAUAUUGGUGAUUCAUGUUUUACGUUCCCUGUUUGGCUUGCUUAGACGACAAUGGUUUAUAUAAAAAUUCAGACAUUUGAGGCCAUAUCUCACAUUAACUUGUACUUUGGAAGAUUGUCUUCGUGAUGCAAAAUAUUUCGUGGAAAGAAAAGACAAGUGUUAUAUGAUUACAUCCGUAACGUAACGUUCUUAUAGUUGAUUUAAUUUCAUGUUAUAGUUGCCAUGGUUUAAUUUUACUGUGUUACAAUCAUUCUCAGGCAGUUUGUUAAAUGGCAACAGUAAGUAUUCUCUUCUGUUUCUAACAAAUAUAAUUUUAAUA